rnacentral:rRNA from 1 species
GAUGAACGCUGGCGGCGUGCUUAACACAUGCAAGUCGAACGAAGCACCUUAUUCUGAUUUCUUCGGAAUGAAAAAUUUGGUGACUGAGUGGCGGACGGGUGAGUAACGCGUGGGUAACCUGCCUCAUACAGGGGGAUAACAGUUAGAAAUGACUGCUAAUACCGCAUAAGACCACAGCACCGCAUGGUGCAGGGGUAAAAACUCCGGUGGUAUGAGAUGGACCCGCGUCUGAUUAGGUGGUUGGUGGGGUAACGGCCUACCAAGCCGACGAUCAGUAGCCGACCUGAGAGGGUGACCGGCCACAUUGGGACUGAGACACGGCCCAAACUCCUACGGGAGGCAGCAGUGGGGAAUAUUGCACAAUGGGGGGAACCUUGAUGCAGCGACGCCGCGUGAGCGAUGAAGUAUUUCGGUAUGUAAAGCUCUAUCAGCAGGGAAGAAAAUGACGGUACCUGACUAAGAAGCACCGGCUAAAUACGUGCCAGCAGCCGCCGUAA